UUCGCAAUGCCCGAAAGGGUGACGAAGCGACGCCGCGUGCGGGAAGAAGGCCUUCGGGCUGUAAACCGCUGUCGGGAGUUAAGAAAUGUAAGGAUGUUAAUAGCAUCUUUGCUUGACUAAGGCUCCGGAGGAAGCCACGGCUAACUCUGUGCCAGCAGCCGCGGUAAUACAGAGGCGGCAAGCGUUGUUCGGAAUUAUUGGGCGUAAAGAGCACGUAGGCGGCUAUGUAAGUCGGUUGUGAAAGCCUUCCGCUCAACGGGAGAACAGCAUCCGAUACUGCAUGGCUUGAGUGCGGGAGGGGAGAGUGGAACUUCUGGUGGAGCGGUGAAAUGCGUAGAUAUCAGAAGGAACGCCGGCGGCGAAAGCGGCUCUCUGGCCCAUAACUGACGCUGAGUGUGCGAAAGCUAGGGGAGCAAACGGGAUUAGAUACCCCGGUAGUCCUAGCCGUAAACGAUGGGCACUAAGUAGAGGGGUUUU
rnacentral:rRNA from 1 species